UACGAAGGGGGCUAGCGGUGUUCGGAAUUACUGGGCGUAAAGCGCGUGUAGGCGGGCCGUUAAGUCGGGGGUGAAAGCCCAGAGCUCAACUCUGGAACUGCCUUCGAUACUGGCGGCCUGGAGCAUGAUAGAGGCGAGUGGAAUUGCGAGUGUAGAGGUGAAAUUCGUAGAUAUUCGCAGGAACACCAGUGGCGAAGGCGACUCGCUGGAUCAUUGCUGACGAUGAGACGCGAAAGCGUGGGGAGCAAACAGG
rnacentral:rRNA from 1 species